AUUUAUGUAGUUUAUAAAAAACAUUACAUUUUCACUGUAAAGAUAAAAUUAUUUUUCAUGAAUA
rnacentral:tRNA from 1 species